AUAACCUGGUUUGUACAAGUAGUAUUCCCGUCCUCCUUCCUCGAGUCAUCCGAUAUACUUGUUCAAUCUAGCUCAUGCUGCCGUAUAUGCGAUCUACCUACUGCGGCAAGCUUCACGCUAAUUUUACUUUGAGGAGUUCACACACACACUUUGUAGCACCCGGCCUCACCACUCUAUAAAGAGUACUAGCACUCUUCACUUUAGCACACUGAAUCAAUGAUUAAAACAUCUCCGAGAAUCGAACUUAAUUUGAUACUCAUUUGAAAAACAAACUACGCCUCAGCUCGCUUGGUUCCACACAUAUUCGUCCGCAAACUGCUCACCCUGUUACCAUUAAUCAACUGUACAUUUCACUCCAAAAAAUCCUCUCUCCGUGAGAUCAUCCUUGUUUGGAUGUUUUUAUUAUUGUUAUUUUAUUUCAGAAUCUAUAAAGAAUUCAGUGCUGAAGUCGAUUGAAAACCUAUAUUUAUCCACUCCGCACGCAAGGGAC
rnacentral:sRNA from 2 species